UUUAUUCUUCAAUUUCUUUGUCAGGCCGAGGUCACUAAUACGUUGUACGAAAGUUGAACAUUUAACGUUUUCAUUUCAUCUGAGAGCUUCAGUUUGUUAUCGAUCUUUCAUCAUGGAGGAACACUGGAGUUCUAGUAAUGAUAAGCUUGUCUCAGCAGAAGAAGGCUUAUUAAAGCCUGAAAUAAGGAAGAACAUGAAAGCAGAAAAAUCUUAUUGUUGUGA